rnacentral:misc_RNA from 1 species
GAUGAAGAACGCAGCGAAAUGCGAUACGUAAUGUGAAUUGCAGAAUUCAGUGAAUCAUCGAGUCUUUGAACGCACAUUGCGCCCCCUGGUAUUCCGGGGGGCAUGCCUGUCCGAGCGUCAUUGCUGCCCUCAAGCACGGCUUGUGUGUUGGGCCUCCGUCCUCCUCCCGGGGGACGGGCCCGAAAGGCAGCGGCGGCACCGCGUCCGGUCCUCGAGCGUAUGGGGCUUCGUCACCCGCUCUUGUAGGCCCGGCCGGCGCUUGCCGACACAUCAAUCUUUUUUCCAGGUUGACCUCGGAUCAGGUGGGGAUACCCGCUGAACUUAAGCAUAUCAAUAAGCGGAGGA